rnacentral:rRNA from 1 species
CUAGAGAUAGAUCUUUCCCUUCGGGGACAGCGGUGACAGGUGGUGCAUGGUUGUCGUCAGCUCGUGUCGUGAGAUGUUGGGUUAAGUCCCGCAACGAGCGCAACCCUUGAUCUUAGUUGCCAGCAUUUAGUUGGGCACUCUAAGGUGACUGCCGGUGAUAAACCGGAGGAAGGUGGGGAUGACGUCAAAUCAUCAUGCCCCUUAUGACCUGGGCUACACACGUGCUACAAUGGACGGUACAGAGGGUCGCAACCC